GCUCGGGUGGCGAAACUGGCAGACGCGCCAGCUUGAGGUGCUGGUGCCCUUUACCGGGCUUGCAGGUUCGAAUCCUGUCCCGAGCA
rnacentral:tRNA from 1 species